rnacentral:rRNA from 1 species
GAUGAACGCUGGCGGCGUGCCUAAUACAUGCAAGUCGAGCGAACAGACGAGGAGCUUGCUCCUCUGACGUUAGCGGCGGACGGGUGAGUAACACGUGGAUAACCUACCUAUAAGACUGGGAUAACUUCGGGAAACCGGAGCUACUACCGGCUAAUAUAUUCAACCGCAUGGUUCAAUAGUGAAAGACGCUUUUGCUGUCACUUAUAGAUGGAUCCGCGCCGCAUUAGCUAGUUGGUAAGGUAACGGCUUACCAAGGCAACGAUGCGUAGCCGACCUGAGAGGGUGAGCGGGCACACUGGGACUGAGACAGGGUGCAGACUCCUAAGGGAGGCAGCAGUGGGUAAUCGUGCGCAAGGGGGGGGAGCCUGGCGGGGCGACGCCGCGUGAGUGAUGAACGUCGUCCGGGGGUAAAACUCUGCUUGGCGGGAAAGACAAUCGCGCAAGUAACCAGGCGCGCCUUGACGGGACUGAAGCAGAGAGCCACUGCUAACCACUUG